UACGUAGGGUGCAAGCGUUAAUCGGAAUUACUGGGCGUAAAGCGUGCGCAGGCGGUUAUGUAAGACAGUUGUGAAACUCCCCGGGCUCAACCUGGGAACUGCAUCUGUGACUGUAUAGCUAGAGUACGGUAGAGGGGGAUGGAAUUCCGCGUGUAGCAGUGAAAUGCGUAGAUAUGCGGAGGAACACCGAUGGCGAAGGCAAUCCCCUGGACCUGUACUGACGCUCAUGCGACGAAAGGCGUGGGGAGCAAACAGG
rnacentral:rRNA from 1 species